rnacentral:lncRNA from 1 species
ACGCGUGGAAUCACGGACCGGGCGCGGACGCCGGGCUCUUCUGCCCCCUGCUCUUACGGUGGUGGGGAAUGAGAAGGGACCUACUAGAAGUGGCCCAAGAUGAAUCCCCAACAGCAGCGCAUGGCCGCUAUAGGGACCGACAAGGAGCUGAGCGACCUGCUGGACUUCAGUGCGAUGUUUUCUCCACCUGUUAAUAGUGGGAAAACCAGACCAACGACACUGGGAAGCAGUCAGUUCAGCGGAUCAGGUAAGAUCAUGUUUAAAAAUCAGAAACUCGUAUUUUGGCGUUGCGAUACAUCUUGGUAGAAAAAUACGAGGUAUUUUAAUAUUUUUCUUUAAGUUCGUCUUAAAAUUAUAAACAAAAACAAGCCCUUAAAUGUGGGCUGUUGCUCUAAAGAUCCAUUGACUUUUAAGAAUUUCAAUAUGAAUUUAAAAAUUGUUCUCUUUUCUGUGAUUUUUUAAAUUGAAAAUUGCUUUGCUUGAAUACAAGGGAUUUUAUCAUGCCUCUAUGUUUAGGAAAGUAUCAGAAGAAAGUGCUCUGUAGCCCAUGUGUGGUAUUUUUUGUUUAUUUAAACAUGUGUAUUUUAAAAUUUUGCUAAAAAUUUAGCACAUUAGCAUUAUUAAACCUUUGGAUUCUAAAAAAUUGGUAAAAUAAUUCUAUUUAAAAUAUAUGUGUGAAAAGUGGAAUUGAGUCAAGCAAUAAUUAGACUUGUUUUAAAAGAUGGCUAUUCCUUUGGAGGUCUGUAGCAAAUUAACAAUUUUGUAUACAGUUAUUUGGAAUAUUACAAAUAAAUGAAUAGAAAGUGAGUAUGCUUUCAAAUAACACCUAUGAGAUAAGUGCAUUCUGACCUACGUUCACAUUACAUUAGGAUAACGUUUAGAGUAAGUUAAAUUAGAGUCCUAUUCUUUUUGUCUUUUGUCUUUAGAUUUACUUUCUGUAUAUUUACAACUACUCUGCUUUAUUAUUAACAUUUAUCUCACAUUUCUUAAGUAUGCUUUUUUUUUGUUUGUUUGUUUUUCUUACUCAUUUAAACUCAUGAUUAAAAAAAACAAACGUUCCAGAAGCAGGGUCCAUUCUAAUGCACAAAAGCUAUAAUUUUCUCUUUAACUUAGAUUUACUCCUUAGGGCUCAGAGAUGAAAAAAAAAAUAACCAAGGCCAAGACAGCAUUAUCUUUUAAGAAAACCAGCUGUCAGAUUUCUAGGCUGAAACUCAGUAAUUCCUUUUUGUUUGGUGCUUUUUUAUUUUCCCUAGUAAAAUGAUAGUUGAUUUCUUAAGAUAAUGUGAGAGCAAAACAUGAGAAAAGAAGGUGAAUUUCAUAACCAGUUUAUUUAUACUACUUUACAUUAAAAAAAAUGUUCCAAUUCAAAAACCAUACACUAACUUAAUUUACUGAAGUUCAUUUUUAAUGAUGAAAUUUUGCUUUAGGGGAAUAUAUACCAUGUUGUUUAACAUCUCAGAGAAGUAAAAUAAAAACAUUUUGGAUUUUAAAUAUUCUAAAGACUAAUAUUAUUCUUUAUCAAAAGGGUAUCAUAAAAUGUCACUAAACCCCAGCUAUUUUCCCACCUCCAUCCAUUUAUUGGUAAUGAUUUGGAAAAAUCAUCACUUUUUGGGGUUGAGGAGAGGAAAUUAUUAGUUAAUAUGGAAGAAAGCUAAGACGUCUUCUCUUUCUUUACUACUAUGAGUGCAUCUCAGUUUUUGCAACUAAUCAUUCUCAAGAACUUUCAAAUUUACUUUGUCUAGUAUAUAGUAGAUACUUAGUAUAUUUCAUUAAAUGACUAGUGAUACUGCUGUUUGAAGCUGUUUUGGAUUGAAUUGGAGAAAAUAUGUUUCAUUGACAUUGAUAUCAAGGACAUGAACUUUGGAAACUUGCUAUUAUAAAUACUGUCUUUUUAGAAUAAGGGCAACUUUUUUUUUUUUUACUUUUUAAAUUUAAGAAGGUAUAAUAUAUGUAGUCUGAAAUUAAGUGUAGUGAACUUGGUGUGUCUUAACUAGUAUGGCAUUGAAGCAGUUGUGGGUCCUUCUUUAUGUAGCAUGCAUUAUACAAAGAAAUAAUUAUUUUUCUACAUCGUAGAAGUGGUUGUUAAAUUUGAUUCUUUGGCUCAGGAAAUUUUUAGUUUUAAAACUGUUAGAUUUGUUAUUUAUCCAUUGAAAAUUUAACUUGAAUAUGUAUCUGUGUCUUAUUUAAAUUUCAGGAAAAAAUUUAAUUAUAGUUUUAAAAAAAGCUAUGAUUUUUGGUAAUUAGUGAAUAGAUUUCAGGGAGGGGAAAAUAGCAAAGUGAUUAUUUUAUAUGAAAGUAUAUUGGUAAAUAUGGCUCUGUAGCCAUUUCUUAAAGGAAAUGUCUGAAAGAGAUUGGUAUAGCAGUAUUAUUUUAUUUAUAUAUUUUAUUGACACUUUACUCAUCUUCUGUCCUGAUGUCAAAGGAUGUGUAACAUGUCUUCAUGCUUGUUUAUUUGUAGCAAGUAAGGACCUAAAGAUAAGACUUUCCUUCUAACGAGGUGACUUAGAGUUAUCUUUUUUUUUUUUUGUCUUUUUAGCUAUUUCUUGGGCCGCUCCCGCGGCAUAUGGAGAUUCCCAGGCUAGACUUAGAGUUAUCUUGUUUUUGGAGUAGCAUUUGUAAAACCCCAGGUAUAAUUUCUGUUGAUUAUCCAUUUUGAGGAUGAGUUAAUUUCACAGAAUAUGCUAUAAUACAGGAUGUUAUUUUAAAAUCUUAUUCCAAAAGCAAAAUAUAACUUGAAUGAUAGCUGACACUUCGUCAAAAAUUGCUAUGGGAAAGAUUAAUGUGUCUUUUCUGUUAAUUUGUCUUGAGGAGUUGGUUAUAGUCCUAUUUUUUCAUCAAGGGUGUUAAUUUUCUUUGCAUUAUGAUAAGACUGAAUAUGUCCGCUUGGUAUGAUAGCCACGAGGUAUCAGUGACCUUGAGAGAGGGGUUUCUCUCUGUAGGAGUUAAAGGUGAGGCACUUUGUAGGGCACAGUGUGUAAGAGGAAAGCUUGUUGAAAGGAUUGACAGACUGGAAAUAGUUCAAGUGUUUAAAUCCACUGUCCCUCCAACUUCAGUGUGUAGAACUAAAUUGUGAUAUUGGGUUUAAUUUUUAGUAGUUUAAAUGUUUACAUGAUAUCCGAAAGAUUUCUUUUGUUAGUUUUUGAAUCCAAGUAAUAAGAGAUGUUGAGAGUGGGAUGUUUUGUUUUGUAAGAGGUCUGUAUGUAUUGAGUCUGUCUCAUGUUUCUACCUAGAGAGUUAUUUUAGCUAGCAAAUAAAAUUUUUACUAUUUCUUGUUCAAAUCAGACUUUUGUUACACUAUAGAUUUCUUCUUGCUCAAGAUUUUCAGAAUUAGUUAUAAACUAUUUUCUACCUCUUAAUUUUAAAAAGGAAUACAAUUUUUCAUUCUUCAGAUACUGAUUAGUUUUGGUGGGGGAUUUUAACAUGUACGUAUAGGGUUUUUGAAAAUGUUAAUACAGGGCCAGAAAAAUGGAUUCUUACUAAAUUGCUCUUCAGUAAUUUUUUAAAUUAAACUUUUUGUUUUGAGAUAAUUGUAAAUUCAUAUGCAGUUGUAAGAAGCAAUACAGAGAUCCUACUUACAGUUUCCCAUGUUUCCUGUAAUGGUAACAGCCUGCAAAACUGUGUACAGUAUCAUAGCUAGGUUAUUGACAGUGAUGCAGUCAGGAUUCCAUGAACAAUUCAUCAUCACAAGGAUCUCUGGUGUUUCCCUAUUAUAACUGUGUCUACUUCUCAAGUAAUUAAAAAAAAAAAAAA